GUGUCAGCAGCCGCGGUAAUACGGAGGGUGCAAGCGUUAUCCGGAUUCAUUGGGUUUAAAGGGUGCGUAGGUGGGCAGGUAAGUCAGUGGUGAAAUCUUCAAGCUUAACUUGGAAACUGCCAUUGAUACUAUUUGUCUUGAAUAUCCUGGAGGUAAGCGGAAUGUGCCAUGUAGAGGUGAAAUGCUUAGAUAUGGCACAGAACACCGAUUGCGAAGGCAGCUCACAAAACUGUUACUGACGCUGAGGCACGAAAGCGUGGGGAUCAAACAGGAUUAGAAACCCCCGUAGUCC
rnacentral:rRNA from 1 species